GACGAACGCUGGCGGCGUGCUUAACACAUGCAAGUCGAACGGAAAGGCCCUGCUUUUGUGGGGUGCUCGAGUGGCGAACGGGUGAGUAACACGUGAGUAACCUGCCCUUGACUUUGGGAUAACUUCAGGCAACUGGGGCUAAUACCGGAUAGGAGCUCCUGCUGCAUGGUGGGGGUUGGAAAGUUUCGGCGGUUGGGGAUGGACUCGCGGCUUAUCAGCUUGUUGGUGGGGUAGUGGCUUACCAAGGCGUUGACGGGUAGCCGGCCUGAGAGGGUGACCGGCCACAUUGGGACUGAGAUACGGCCCAGACUCCUACGGGAGGCAGCAGUGGGGAAUAUUGCACAAUGGGCGGAAGCCUGAUGCAGCAACGCCGCGUGCGGGAUGACGGCCUUCGGGUUGUAAACCGCUUUCGCCUGUGACGAAGCGUGAGUGACGGUAAUGGGUAAAGAAGCACCGGCUAACUACGUG
rnacentral:rRNA from 1 species